GUAUAUCUGUGUGUGUGUGUGUGUGUAUGUAUCUGACAUACAGAUAUACACACCUUCACACACAGUGUGUAUCUGUGUGUCAGAUACAUACACACACACACACAGAUACACA